CACGUAGGGCGCAAGCGUUGUCCGGAAUUAUUGGGCGUAAAGAGCUCGUAGGCGGUUUGUCGCGUCGAAUGUGAAAACCCGGGGCUCAACUCCGGAUCUGCGGUGGGUACGGGCAGACUAGAGUGAUGUAGGGGAGACUGGAAUUCCUGGUGUAGCGGUGAAAUGCGCAGAUAUCAGGAGGAACACCGAUGGCGAAGGCAGGUCUCUGGGCCGAUACUGACGCUGAGGAGCGAAAGCGUGGGGAGCGAACAGG
rnacentral:rRNA from 1 species